rnacentral:rRNA from 1 species
UACGGAGGGUGCGAGCGUUGUCCGGAAUCACUGGGCGUAAAGGGCGCGUAGGCGGCCGGAGAAGUCGGUGGUGAAAGCUCGGGGCUCAACUCCGAGUCGGCCACCGAUACUGUUCGGCUCGAGUUUGGUAGAGGCAGAUGGAAUUCCGGGUGUAGCGGUGGAAUGCGUAGAGAUCCGGAAGAACACCGGUGGCGAAGGCGGUCUGCUGGGCCAAGACUGACGCUGAGGCGCGACAGCGUGGGGAGCGAACAGG